UUAGGUUUUUCCAAUCAGUUCUUCAAUAUACCACUGGGGUUGCGCCCCUGCCGCGUCUCCGGCUGAUGUGGCAUAUGCCAUGUCAUCUAACUUUUUUUUUUAAAAAAAAAAGAAGAAGACGAAAGCGGGAACUAAAAUGAAAUGAAAUGGGUAUUGUUUUCAUUUUUGCGUGGGUUUCCAUUUUCUUUGAGCCACUGUUGAACUUCUUCUUCUCCUCGUCAGGUUGUUGCGGUCGCCGUCAUGGGAUAGUCCACAUCUCUGAGUCGCGGCCAUCGUCGUGGGUGAGAGAGCUAUUGGUCACGGUCAUUGUUGCAAGGGAGAGAGCGACUGGUUCAUCUGGUCCUUGGCUAUUGAAGAGAAAGAAAAUUACAUGAAAGGUAAUAACUUUGUUGUUAUUUCUUCAAGUUCUGUUAUUUCUUCGGUCGCCAUUGUUGAUCUAUUAAGCUUUUAUGCUCCGUGCGCUAUUGUCGAUUUCUAAAGUUGUAAAAAAUCUCUUUUUAUCUCUAUCUUAUAUCUGCCUUAUUUUUUGUUGCAA